rnacentral:sRNA from 1 species
AGUGGCUCAUUCACCUGAUUAUGUCAGCCCCUUCGGGACGCGCUACAUAAAAUUCGAAUGACGCACAAACAGGUGCCUGCCGUCCAGCAUUCUGAUAUCAGCAUAGCUAUAUCAAACUUCGGGCGAAACGUUGAGUUAGGCACCGCCUU